rnacentral:tRNA from 1 species
AAGGUUUUAAGUUAAAUCAAACUAAUAGCCUUCAAAGCUGUAAAUAAAAAAAUAUCAAUUUUUAAACCUUA